AGAGUUUGAUCCUGGCUCAGGAUGAACGCUGGCGGCGUGCUUAACACAUGCAAGUCGAACGAUGAAGCCCAGCUUGCUGGGUGGAUUAGUGGCGAACGGGUGAGUAACACGUGAGUAACCUGCCCUUAACUCUGGGAUAAGCCUGGGAAACUGGGUCUAAUACCGGAUAGGAGCGCCUACCGCAUGGUGGGUGUUGGAAAGAUUUAUCGGUUUUGGAUGGACUCGCGGCCUAUCAGCUUGUUGGUGAGGUAAUGGCUCACCAAGGCGACGACGGGUAGCCGGCCUGAGAGGGUGACCGGCCACACUGGGACUGAGACACGGCCCAGACUCCUACGGGAGGCAGCAGUGGGGAAUAUUGCACAAUGGGCGCAAGCCUGAUGCAGCGACGCCGCGUGAGGGAUGACGGCCUUCGGGUUGUAAACCUCUUUCAGUAGGGAAGAAGCGAAAGUGACGGUACCUGCAGAAGAAGCACCGGCUAACUACGUG
rnacentral:rRNA from 1 species